rnacentral:rRNA from 1 species
AUUGAACGCUGGCGGCAUGCCUUACACAUGCAAGUCGAACGGUAACAGGUUAAGCUGACGAGUGGCGAACGGGUGAGUAAUGUAUCGGGACGUGCCCAGUCGUGGGGGAUAACGUAGCGAAAGCUACGCUAAUACCGCAUACGAUCUACGGAUGAAAGCGGGGGAUCGCAAGACCUCGCGCGAUUCGAGCGGCCGAUAUCAGAUUAGGUUGUUGGUGAGGUAAAAGCUCACCAAGCCUGCGAUCUGUAGCUGGUCUGAGAGGACGACCAGCCACACUGGAACUGAGACACGGUCCAGACUCCUACGGGAGGCAGCAGUGGGGAAUUUUGGACAAUGGACGCAAGUCUGAUCCAGCAAUGCCGCGUGCAGGACGAAGGCCUUCGGGUUGUAAACUGCUUUUGUACGGAACGAAACGGUGAGCUCUAAUACAGUUUGCUAAUGACGGUACCGUAAGAAUAAGCACCGGCUAACUACGUGCCAGCCGCCGCAGUAA